rnacentral:rRNA from 1 species
UACGAAGGGGGCUAGCGUUGCUCGGAAUCACUGGGCGUAAAGGGUGCGUAGGCGGGUCUUUAAGUCCGGGGUGAAAUCCUGGAGCUCAACUCCAGAACUGCCUUUGAUACUGAAGAUCUUGAGUUCGGGAGGGGUGAGUGGAACUGCGAGUGUAGAGGUGAAAUUCGUAGAUAUUCGCAAGAACACCAGUGGCGAAGGCGGCUCACUGGCCCGAUACUGACGCUGAGGCACGAAAGCGUGGGGAGCAAACAGG